rnacentral:tRNA from 1 species
UAAGUAAAAGCCAAACAAGAGGCGCCUAGCUGUUAAUUAGGAGACUGUAAAUAUAUUACUUACUUAG